UUUACAGGAGCAGAUGUAUUUUGCAUAAAACAUCUCUUCUGGAAAUGAAUUUCCUGAUCCCAAGAGAUGAAUGGAGUUUGAAUCACCUACUGAAAUUGAUGAAAGCUGGUGUGGUUAGGCCACUAGCAGAACUAGAAGUAGAAGAUAUAGAAGAAGAACAAGAUGUAGAAGCAUUUGGGUGCUGUUCAUUCCAUAAUAUCUACCUUGGACAUUGCCUGUUUUCAACACUUGGGUAGCUUUCAGCUCUCCAGAGUAUAAAUGAAGCAUUCUCUUGUUGAGAACAGUGUACUAUUUUCUCAAUUAAUAACAGCUGUAAACACCCACAUUUAAUGACAACUGCAAUUCAUUUUCAGCUUCAAAACAGAAUUUGUGAUUUUCACUGUGAGAACAAUGACAAGAAUGUGAAGAGGAUGAAAAAUACAAUCUAUCUUGCCCAUACAUUUUUAAUAAAUGAAGCACAUAUUACAAUGCACUAUUUUUAAAGCUUUUUUGUCUGUGAUGUUAAAGUGUGUAGGUACAAAAUCCAUCAAGAUAAUACGUUAAUGUUUAACAGUUAGCACAUCAAACUCUGUUCUGAAUAAACAGAGAACCUUUUUUACUAACUUGAUUCCAAUCUCUCCAACAGUUCUUUAUACUGUCAUAGCUUAUUUACUUCACUCUAUUUUUGAAGCACUAAUGUAAUCUUUUUUUAAUGCACUAGAAAACUCAAAAGCAUUGCCAUAUUUGUAAGUUAUCACAGCACACCAGUUUGGGAU